UACGUAGGGAGCAAGCGUUGUCCGGAAUCAUUGGGCGUAAAGCGCGCGUAGGUGGCCACAUAAGUCCGUUGUGAAAGUCAAAGGCUCAACCUUUGAAAGCCGAUGGUUACUGUGUGGCUAGAGUACGGAAGAGGCGAGUGGAAUUCCUGGUGUAGCGGUGGAAUGCGCAGAUAUCAGGAGGAACACCAAUAGCGAAGGCAGCUCGCUGGGACGUUACUGACACUGAGGCGCGAAAGCGUGGGGAGCGAACAGG
rnacentral:rRNA from 1 species